GGCCUUUUGAAUAUUAUUUAAGGUCUAGCCUGCCCACUGAUUUUUAAAGGGCCGCGGUAUUUUGACCGUGCAAAGGUAGCAUAAUCAAUAGUUCCCUAAUUAGGAGCUGGAAUGAAGGGUUGGAUAAGAGAAUAACUGUCUCUAAUUUAAUUUAUUGAACUUUACUUUUAAGUAAGAAGUCUUAAAUUUGGCUAAAAGACGAGAAGACCCUAUAGAGUUUUACAUUUAAAUUUUUCUUUAGCUUUAGAAUUAUAAUUUGGGACAGAUUUAUUUGUUUGGUUGGGGUGACUAGAAAAUUUAAUCAACUUUUCUCUUUUACGUUCAUUAAUUUAUGUGUAUAUGAUCCGUUGUUUACGAUUUUAAGAUAAAAUUACCUUAGGGAUAACAGCGUUAUCCCUUCGGAUAGCCCAAAUUAAUGAAGGGGUUUGCGACCUCGAUGUUGGAUUAAAAUAAAACUUUGGUGCAGAAGCUAAAGGAUUAGGUCUGUUCGACCUUUAAAAUUUUACAUGA
rnacentral:rRNA from 1 species